rnacentral:lncRNA from 1 species
UGUCUAAAAUGGUCACAUUACCCAGGCAAGGCCAGAGUGUCCUUCCCUGUAACUUUACAAUCUGUUGCUAGGAAAGCUCCCUGUUUCCUCUGAGGUCUUGAGCUGAGAGGCUGGAAACCAGAAGCCACCCAUGACCAUUGGCAUCAACAUACUGCCUAUACCCAUAGGUUCAAAAAAAUCGGCCAGCAGAAGGAAAGAAUGAGGCCAACGACCGGAGAGAAACACAGCCAAGAGAUGGAGAAAGGGAGAGUCUAAGAUACUACUGACAGUCAUCUGAGUCCCUGUAGGCUCUGAUGUCAGCACCAAUCUAGAACUUUCCAGUGGCAUAAGCCACUAAAUUCCUUUGUUUCCUUAGGCCAAUUUGAGUUGGGUUCUGUUACCCUGAACUGAAAGUCUCUAAACACCAAAAAACUGUGGUGGUGAUGCCAAUAAGCUAACUGCUCACACCAGCUCUUUAUGGCUUCCCAGAGGAGCAAGCAACCUAAUGCUGUAGACUGGCUGGCCUUGUGCUGGACCAGUGAUGAAGACAGCAAACAAGAUACUCUGGCCCUUUAGCCUGAAGAAGAAAAACCAAAACCAGAUUCCAUAUUCUCCCAAUCCAGGAUCUUGUCCUAUAGUAGUAUGUUGCCACCACCUGAACAUCAGUCUAGCAGACCUUUUACCUUAUUAUGCAGAAAGCACACUUGGCAUGAAAAGAAAGGGUAUCCUCGGCUAGAUUUGCUUCUGUCAUGGCUGAAAAGGUGAAGUGACCCGCUCUGAAAACAUGAAGCCCUUGGACUCUCAGGUCACUGCAUAGGGUGUUCUAAUUAGAAAAACAAGUGUAGCAUUUUACCCACCAACACAGUGGUGACAUUUGGUGAAGUUCUAAAAAUCUUUAAUUAUUACUUACACUUUACAUAUUUACCAAAAUGUUAUGUAUCUCCUUGAUAUUUAAUAAAAUCACUUUUAAAAUCCUAUAGUUAAGAUUCCUGUGAACACAAGGGAAAAGGUCAAAUGAAGAUUUGAAUGAGCACAGGCUGUAGAAAAUACACAGCGCUCAUACUGCAGUCUCUUUGAAGUGCAUACAGUGCCAGAGAAAGUAAGUUAGACAUUCAGUAAUUGACAUUCAGUAAAAAACACUCCUGGGAUAUCUACUGAGUGACUGCUUCCUUGAUGUGGCAUCUAUGGCCAAUCACUGAUCACUCGUGGCACAGUACUGCUCUAACAUUUCCAUUGAUUUAUUGCUGGAAAUUUGAUUUUUUAUUUUUGUGUGGUACCCAGAAAGAAAAAGCUAGCUGCUGAAUUAGCUUUUGAGAUUCAAAGGAGAAUUAGAUGAAACUAGGACACGUAUGGAAUUAAAUACCUAUAAACAGAUCAAUCGUUUUCUAGCUAUAAAACAAAAAAGUCGCUUAAAGAGAAAAAAAGAUGCUAUAACUCAGAAAAAAACUAAGUCCUGAAUUCUGUAAAAUUUGCACCUAUAAAUCAGUCUUCGCAGUGUGACAUACUAUAAGGAUUAGUAACAACAACAACACUCUUUUCUUUUUCUCUCUUCUUUAUAUUUUUAUUUUUGACAAAGCCCUUAAACAGAAUGUUGUAUAUAUCUUGAAAUUUCAGGAAUAAUUAACCACCAUAAAAACAAACGAAAUCACAAGCCUGUACCCAAGGAAAACAAUAAAUAGAUUUUCAAACCUCUGACUUGUUGCUCCAUCAAAGCAGAUAUGUCCUCUUGAUUAAGGAUCAUUUUGAGAAAAAGAGACACAGUCGAUGGUCAACCUGCACCUUCAUUCAGUAUUCCCUACUGAAACAGAUGGCAUCUUGGGCAUGUUGAAUCUCCCAGAAUAGGUGCCUAUUAGCAAGACAACUCUUAAAUCUUCCAGAUACCAGGAAAUGCCUUGCCCUAAUUAGGCUACACUUUCCCAUUGCCUCCACAUUUUCAUUCUUACUCAUUGUUCUAGCAAUUUGGAUUCUGCCCCAUACCAUUGGAAUGAAAUUGUUCUUCCCUUAACCUCUUUUGAGUCUCAAUCCUGGUCCAUCUUUUUGCACAGCUCCACAGUUGACCCCACCUCCACUUCCUCCACCACCAGCUCCAGCAAAACACAUGCAGAGUCUUUCGCUCCUCCCUUGGCUUACAAUUUGGUUUACAAUUUUGCUCCUCCCUUGGUUUACAAUCCUAAACCUCUCCAAUUCUUCCUGGCUACUCUGCUCCUGCUCAGGCCCCUUCAUGCUUCUUCUCCUCUCCUCAGUAGUUAAAGGGAAGGAUGUACCCCAUGGUUUUAUCUUAAGCUCUUUUUAUUUUUGAGAUAGGGUCUUGCUCUGUCACCCAGGCUGGAGUGUGGUGGAGUGAAUAUG